rnacentral:rRNA from 1 species
AGAGUUUGAUCCUGGCUCAGAUUGAACGCUGGCGGCAUGCCUAACACAUGCAAGUCGAACGAGACCUUCAGGUCUAUUGCUUCUUUGCUGCGUAACGCGUGAGAAUCUGCCCUUGGGUGCGAAAUUGCUCGACGAAAGGGGUGCUCUUCUGGGAUGAUGUCCUAAGACCAAAGAUUUAUCGCCCACGGAUGAGCCCGCCUUUCAUUAGCUAGUUGGUGAGGUAAAGGCUCAUGGGGCAACUAUCUUUAGCUGGUCUGACAGGAUGAUCAGCCACACUGGGACUGAUCCACGGCCCUGACUCCUACGGCAGGCACUGAUGGGGAAUAUUGAACAAUGGGCGAAAGCCUGAUCCGGAAAUGCCGCGUGAGUGAUGAAGGCCUUAGGGUUGUAAAGCUCUUGUUACCCGGGAUGAUAAUGAUUGUACCGGGAUAUUAAGCUCCAGCUAACUCCGUGCCUUCAUACCCGGGCUUACUGACGUAGCUAGCGUUGUACGCAAUUACUGGCUGUGAAGCGCACGUAGGCGGCUUUGUGAGUCAGAGGGGAAAACUCGGGAGCUCAGUCCGUAACGCCCUUUGAGACUGCUUCUCUUGACUCAUGGAGAAGCGAGUGGCACUCCGAGUGUACUGCAGAAAUUCUAGAUAUCCUGAUAUCACCAAUGGGGGAAGAAGUCUCACUGGUACUGGUUUAACGCUAAGUUCUGGAGCGAUUAGCAGCAAACNGAGUAGAUCCNUUGAUGGUCACGACGCUCACGAUGNNANNNGGUGUACGAAAACUGGUGCUAGGCUGCUCAUCUCANNNAAUAACGUUUUCGACUGGGGAGUACUGUCGNNNANUUAGACUCCAGGGANUNACCGGUGACUNNNC